GCAGAAGUGGCGGAAUUGGUAGACGCGCAGGCUUCAGGUGCCUGUGAUGUCAAAGUCGUGAGGGUUCGAGUCCCUUCUUCUGCA
rnacentral:tRNA from 1 species